rnacentral:rRNA from 1 species
GGGCGAUUGGGCCCGACGUUUGAUCCUGGCUCAGAUUGUACGCUGGCGGAAUGCUUUACACAUGCAAGUCGAACGGCAGCACGGGGGCAACCCUGGUGGCGAGUGGCGAACGGGUGAGUAAUACAUCGGAACGUGCCCAGUCGUGGGGGAUAACGUAGCGAAAGCUACGCUAAUACCGCAUACGAUCUACGGAUGAAAGCGGGGGAUCGCAAGACCUCGCGCGAUUGGAGCGGCCGAUGGCAGAUUAGGUAGUUGGUGAGGUAAAGGCUCACCAAGCCUGCGAUCUGUAGCUGGUCUGAGAGGACGACCAGCCACACUGGGACUGAGACACGGCCCAGACUCCUACGGGAGGCAGCAGUGGGGAAUUUUGGACAAUGGGCGAAAGCCUGAUCCAGCCAUUCCGCGUGCAGGAUGAAGGCCCUCGGGUUGUAAACUGCUUUUGUACGGAACGAAACGCGCUGAGUUAAUACCUCGGCGUAAUGACGGUACCGUAAGAAUAAGCACCGGCUAACUACGUGCCAGCAGCCGCGGUAAUACGUAGGGUGCAAGCGUUAAUCGGAAUUACUGGGCGUAAAGCGUGCGCAGGCGGUUAUGUAAGACAGAUGUGAAAUCCCCGGGCUCAACCUGGGAACUGCAUUUGUGACUGCAUAGCUAGAGUACGGUAGAGGGGGGAUGGAAUUCCGCGUGUAGCAGUGAAAUGCGUAGAUAUGCGGAGGAACACCGAUGGCGAAGGCAAUCCCCUGGACCUGUACUGACGCUCAUGCACGAAAGCGUGGGGGAGCAAACAGGAUUAGAUACCCUGGUAGUCCACGCCCUAAACGAUGUCAACUGGGUUGUUGGGUCUUCACUGACUCAGUAACGAAGCUAACGCGUGAAGUUGACC